GCACUAGUAGCUCAGCUUCCAGAGCAUCG
rnacentral:tRNA from 1 species